UUGUUAGUGGCAGACGGGUGAGUAAUGCGUAGGAAUCUACCUAGUAGUACGGAAUAGCCAUUAGAAAUGGUGGGUAAUACUGUAUAAUCCCCGAGGGGGAAAGAUUUAUCGCUAUUAGAUGAGCCUACGUUAGAUUAGCUAGUUGGAGAGGUAAUGGCUUACCAAGGCUAUGAUCUAUAGCUGGUCUGAGAGGACGAUCAGCCACACUGGAACUGAGAUACGGUCCAGACUCCUACGGGAGGCAGCAGUGGGGAAUAUUGGACAAUGGGCGAAAGCCUGAUCCAGCUAUGCCGCGUGAGUGAAGAAGGCCUUCGGGUUGUAAAACUCUUUC
rnacentral:rRNA from 1 species